UCCGAAUGGGAAAACCUACUUGCUUGAAGAGCAAGUGCUGAGGCGGGAACCGGAUGAACUGAAACAUCUAAGUAAUCCGAGGAAGAGAAAGUAAAAACGAUUCCCUAAGUAGCGGCGAGCGAACGGGGAAGAGCCUAAACCAGUGUAGUGUCAAGGAUGCAGCCGUUGCUGCACUGGGGUAGAGGGAUAGUAGUCAGGAGAACUGCAAGGUAUCCGACGUAAGUUAUGUAAGGUAGCAGAAUGGCAUGGGAAGGCCAAUCGUAGAAGGUGAGAAUCCUGUAUGCGAAACUUCAUGACGCGUUAUUGUUAAUCCCAAGUAGCACCGAACACGAGGAAUUUGGUGUGAAUCAGCGUGGACCAUAUCACGUAAGGCUAAAUACUCUUGCUGACCGAUAGCGCAUAGUACCGUGAGGGAAAGGUGAAAAGAACCCCGGGAGGGGAGUGAAAUAGAAUCUGAAACCGUACACUUACAAGCGGUCAGAGCCCUUUAUAUGGGUGAUGGCGUGCCUUUUGGAGAAUGAUCCUGCGAGUUACGAUCAAUGGCAAGGUUAAGUAAACCGGAGCCGUAGGGAAACCGAGUCUGAAUAGGGCGUUAAGUCGUUGGUCGUAGACGCGAAACCGGGUGAUCUAUACCUGUCCAGGCUGAAGCUGGGGUAAGACCUAGUGGAGGGCCGAACUCACCGCCGUUGAAAAGUUGGGAGAUGAGGUAGGUAUAGGGGUGAAACGCCAAUCGAACCCGGAGAUAGCUCGUUCUCUCCGAAAUGCAUUUAGGUGCAGCCUUGUUUGUUUAUCUGCGGGGGUAAAGCACUGAAUAGUCUAGGGGGCAUACCGCUUACCAAAACUAAUCAACCUCUGAAUACCGUAGAUCUAGAGAACAGGAGUGAGACCAUGGGUAAUAAGAUCCUUGGUCGAGAGGGAAACAGCCCAGACCACCAGCUAAGGUCCCAAAUUAUAUCUAAGUGGGAAAGGAGGUGGAGAUUCACAGACAACCAGGAUGUUGGCUUAGAAGCAGCCAUACAUUUAAAGAGUGCGUAAUAGCUCACUGGUCGAGAGUCUCUGCGCCGACAAUGUAACGGGGCUAAGAUAUAAACCGAAGCUGUGGAAUGUACGUAAGUAUAUUGGUAGGAGAGCGUUGUGUAGGCCGGUGAAGGUGUACUGAAAAGAGCACUGGAGGUAUCACAAGUGAGAAUGCAGGAAUGAGUAGCGAAAAAGAGGGUGAGAAUCCCUCUCGCCGGAAGUCCAAGGUUUCCAGGGCAAUGCUUGUCAUCCCUGGGGAAGUCGGGACCUAAGCUGAGGCUUAUAAGCGUAGGCGAAUGGAAAGCAGGUUAAUAUUCCUGCACCAGUUAUGUUUUGUGAUGGAGGGACGCAGAAGGGUAGAUACGCUAGGCGACGGUUGUCCUAGUGCAAGCAUGUAGUGUGGUCAGAUAGGAAAAUCCGUUUGAUUAGACAUGAGGUGUGAUGCGGAGCACGUAAGUGCGGAAGGUAUUGAUCCCACGCUGCCAAGAAAAGCUUCUAACGUUAAGGCAUAACUGCCCGUACUGUAAACCGACACAGGUGGACAGCGUGAGAAACGUAAGGCGGACAGGCUAACUCUCGCUAAGGAACUCUGCAAAAUGGCCCCGUAACUUCGGGAGAAGGGGUGCCUUUGAUGGUGAUGGUUCACGCAACCUAAGCUGUCGGAGGCCGCAGUGAAAAGACUCAAGCGACUGUUUAACAAAAACACAGGUCUAUGCUAAGCUGAAAGGCGAUGUAUAUGGGCUGACACCUGCCCAGUGCCGGAAGGUUAAGAGGAGGAGUGAGAGCUCCGAAUUGAAGCCCCGGUGAACGGCGGCCGUAACUAUAACGGUCCUAAGGUAGCGAAAUUCCUUGUCGGGUAAGUUCCGACCUGCACGAAUGGUGUAACGAUUUGAGUGCUGUCUUGGCGGGAGGCCUGGUGAAGUUGUAUUAUGGGUGAAGAUACCCAUUACCUGCAGCAGGACGGAAAGACCCCAUGGAGCUUUACUGUAGCUUGGUAUUGGGUCUUGAUGCUGUGUGUAUAGGAUAGUUGGGAGACUUUGAUUGUAGGCCGCCAGGUUUACAUGAGUCGUUGGUGGAAUACCAACCACGCAGUAUUGGGAUUCUAAUCUGAGGUUUGUACCCUCGGAGACAGUGCUAGGUGGGCAGUUUGACUGGGGCGGUCGCCUCCGAAAGAGUAA
rnacentral:rRNA from 1 species